rnacentral:rRNA from 1 species
AUGGAGGCCCUAGCUCGAGGCGGCGAGAUGCAGAGAUGCGGGGUGGUGCGGAUGGAGAGGCAGCUUCAGAUCCGCGCGCAGCCGCCCGCACUCUCCUUCCUCCGCCGCCUUCCCUGUGGUCAGCUCCGUCUUCUCCCCGCCCUCCAUCCUCAUGUGUUCAGCAGCAACCCUAGGAGGAGCUCGAGCCACAUCGGUGAAUGUUCUCUGCUAGGUUUGGUGCUACUACUCCGUCUUCGAUCCCAACCAUCUCGCACGUUCCCGAGAUCGUCGUCUUCCUGGCCGGGACCCCUGGUUUGUAAUUCAUGGCAUUUGGCGCAUCUGCGCUUAAAUUCUUGCUGGAAUGGUAAACAACGAUUCCAUUUGGUUACCAUCAACAAAAUGAAGAAAACCAACAAUUUAUUUUUGUAG